UACGGGGGGGGUAAGCGUUGUUCGGAAUUACUGGGCGUAAAGGGCUCGUAGGCGGCCAACUAAGUCAUACGUGAAAUCCCUCAGCUUAACUGGGGAACUGCGUGUGAUACUGGAUGGCUUGGAUUUGGGAGAGGGAUGCGGAAUUCCAGGUGUAGCGGUGAAAUGCGUAGAUAUCUGGAGGAACACCGGUGGCGAAGGCGGCUUUCUGGACAAAUACCGACGCUGAGGCACGAAAGCUAGGGGAGCAAACAGG
rnacentral:rRNA from 1 species